UAUAUAAGUAAUAUAAUGACAAUGUGCAGGAAAUUUAAUUAUUUUGCUAAACAGCAAAGACGUGCAGACGUACCUUAUCUGCGUGUAUUGAGCUAAACAAUUAUUAGCAUACAUUUCUAAGUGCUCAUAUCGAAUAACUUACUCAUUCGGCUCUGUUUGAUAGGCUUUAAAUGCUUAAUUGUUAAAAGUAAUUAAUUUUGAGCUAUAGAAAUAUAUUUCUCGUCCAAACCUACAUAUAUUUACGACUAAAGAUUCAACAUUAUUUACGAAACUAAGCGCAACAAUUAGCUAGUUUUAUGAAAUUGCGAGCUCGCAUCAUCAUAUAUGCCUAUUAUUUAUUCUUUAUAUUUGUUGUUUGUGCAGAUGUGUAAUAAUGAUAACGGAAAGAGCUUGUUUAAAUAAAUAUUAAGUAGGUGUGUAUCACCCGUUCGUCAUGUUACUACGCUUGCCCCUGUUGUUAGCGCGUUUUCUGCACAAUGGACGGCUGCGAAUGCUGUUCCUGGGACUUAUUCUUCUGCUUUUAGUCGGCAUACUGCUUACCUAUAGAUGGCAAACAAAUGUACAGCUCUGCUUCAUUGAGAGUGAGCAGGCGGAGUCGGCUUCUAGUGGUCCAUUGGCAGAUGGCAAUGCGCAAAUACCAAGAAUUUUGGAAGAUGUCCUAUCAACAGAGCCAAUGCCAAUACCUGGACGCAGCAUAUUCUUUCAUGAGACCAGCUGUCAUAGGCCCAAACGCAAACGGCAGCGUCCUGAUUCGCAGUACAAUAUGUUGCAGUUGACGGCUCGGCAGGCUUGUGCCAUUGAGUCCGCUGCAUUGCAUAAUCCGAAUUUUCAAGUUUUUGUUCUAUUUGCUGGUCCCACCUAUCGACAUUAUGGCAAUAGCAGCAGCAGCAGUGCCAGCGGCAGCAGUGGCAACCAGCGCCAUCAGCCGAUUAUCGAUGCAAUUCUUAGCUACAAAAAUGUACAUCUACGACAAUUGAAUCUGUGGCGCUAUGCAGCUGGCACGCCCAUUGAAGAGUGGCUAAAGGAUGGACGUUUGUUUCGCUCAAGCUAUCUCUUCUCGCAUAUAUCGGACUUCUUGAGAUUUCUAACGCUUUAUCGGUAUGGAGGUAUCUAUUUGGACAUGGAUGUGGUUAUGCUGCGCAGCAUGGAGGAUGUACCGCCCAACUAUACUGGUGCCGAAUCAAAUACUCAUUUGGCUGCUGGUGUCAUGAGUCUGGCACCAACUGGAUUCGGUCAUGAGAUUGCCGAGGCGUGCUUACAAGAUUUUCAAAAGAAUUUCGAUGGCAGUGAUUGGGGUAACAAUGGACCUGGUGUUAUAACGCGAGUUGCCCAAAAGAUUUGUGACACAAAGGACAUUGCACUUAUGCUGGAGGAUCGAAAGCGUUGCCUUGGCUUCAAGGUAUUCGAUCGCAAUGCUUUUUAUGCUGUACCCUGGAAACACUGGCGGCAUUUCUUCGAGCCACAGCUGCUCGAACAGACGCUGGCCCACACGAAAGAUUCGUUUCUGGUGCAUGUAUGGAACAAGCACUCCAAACAGUUGGCCAUCAAGGUUGGCUCGAGUACCGCCUAUGGUAAGUAUGCGGAGCAGCAUUGUCCCAGAGCGUAUGCGGCAGCCGGUGACUAUUUCUAGAGAGCCAUUAACUUACAGUUCAACAUUACCAAAGAGUUAGGCAGAAUUAGCACCAAAAUGAAUAACAAACACAAGAAAACAUAAACAAAACUGCGUUGUCAGUAUUUAUAGAAAUGUGAAAUGCAUCUAAAUUGUCUAUAUACUCAUGCAUCUUCGGCUUGCCAAAGACAGAAUAUCAUUGCAAACACAUCAUGCUAUCAUUUUCGAUUUCUGGCUAAUUUGAAAUCUUUAUUAUCAAGCGGAUUUCUUGAAAUGUGCGCUGCCUUUGAGAGACGUGUACUUUAGUCAAUCAGGUUCUUUUUAGUGACAUUUGACAUAUAAACAUUUUAUAAAUGAGACUUUCAGACAUUUUUUCGAGCUUCUGAUUGAUAAGUUAAUUAUUUUACGAACCUCAAUUUUAAUUGCUUUCGUUUAAUAUCAGUGCUAUUUCAUAAUGCUGGCAUUGGUGCUGCGUUUUGGCCCUUGUCUAUCCCGAAUCUCAAUUCGAUUUCAACCGAUUUCAACUUAUAUAUACACAUAUUCAAAUAUGUCCUGUGUCCAUACUUUAGGAAUACAAAACAUAAUUAUACAAUUUGCAAGGAUAUUCAAAUGUAUCAUAUUUUUUGACUGUCCCAUCAAAUGGAAUAUGUGACUAGAUUAUACAUUAAAAUUUCAUUCCAAUAGUA